UCCUGCAUAUUGUUGGCUUAGCCCAAAUG
rnacentral:piRNA from 1 species